UACGGGGGGGGUAAGCGUUGUUCGGAAUUACUGGGCGUAAAGGGCUCGCAGGCGGCCAACUAAGUCAUACGUGAAAUCCCUCAGCUUAACUGGGGAACUGCGUGUGAUACUGGAUGGCUUGGAUUUGGGAGAGGGAUGCGGAAUUCCAGGUGUAGCGGUGAAAUGCGUAGAUAUCAGGAAGAACACCAAUGGCGAAAGCAGCUCUCUGGGACGGUACUGACGCUGAGACGCGAAAGCGUGGGGAGCGAACAGG
rnacentral:rRNA from 1 species